rnacentral:rRNA from 1 species
UACGUAGGGGGCUAGCGUUGUCCGGAAUCAUUGGGCGUAAAGCGCGUGUAGGCGGUCCGGUAAGUCCGCUGUGAAAGUCGGGGGCUCAACCCUCGGAUGGCGGUGGAUACUGUCGGGCUCGAGUACGGGAGAGGCGAGUGGAAUUCCUGGUGUAGCGGUGAAAUGCGCAGAUAUCAGGAGGAACACCAAUUGCGAAGGCAGCUCGCUGGAACGUUACUGACGCUGAGACGCGAAAGCGUGGGGAGCAAACAGG